rnacentral:rRNA from 1 species
CCCUUAGAUGCUCUGGGCCGCACGCGCGCUACACUGGUCGAUGCAACGAGUUUCUUUCCUUGGCCGACAGGCCUGGGCAAUCUUUGAACAUCGAUCGUGAUCGGGAUAGAUUCUUGUAAUUUUUGAUCUUAAACGAGGAAUUCCUAGUAAACGCAAGUCAUCAGCUUGCAUUGAUUACGUCCCUGCCCUUUGUACACACCGCCCGUCGCACCUACCGAUUGAAUGGUCCGGUUAAAUCUCCGGACUGGCGUGAGUCGGAGCAAUCUGACAAACACCGGAAAGUUGAUUAAACCUUACCAUUUAGAGGAAGGUGAAGUCGUAACA